CGAGUCCAUAAUGCAGUAAAAAUGAACAUAAUCCUGCAGCUGACGAGUUGAUGUGAUGAUACUCAUAGUUUUAUUAUUCACUUGCAACCCUACAAACUUUACAUCAACUUUUCUUUACCAGAAGGUUUUAGUUCAUGUCUGUGGAAGAGCAUCUUGCAGACACUUAAAACCUGCAACAGAAGUUGACAACAUCAUGGCUACUUCAUUCACGAUUCAUUACCCUGAAAACCCGACGAUGGCGGCGCCCAUGGCGGCGCCCAUGGCGAUGACCCCUUUCAUGCUGACCGAUGCGGUGAACCGUUUCGUUCCGACCCAUGCGGUGACCGAGGCGAUGACCCAUUUCGUUCCGACCCAUGCGGUGACCGAGGCGAUGACCCGUUUCGUUCCGACCCAUGCGGUGACCGAUGCGGUGAACCGUUUCGUUCCGACCCAUGCGGUGACCGAGGCGAUGAACCGUUUCGUUCCGACCCAUGCGGUGACCAAGGCGAUGGUGAGCGAUGACGUGGUGACCAAGGUGAUGACCGAGGUGGUGAAUGAGGUGGUGACGAAGGGUACGUACAUGUACAAUAUGUGA
rnacentral:lncRNA from 1 species